UGUUUCUAGAUUUUCUCAAUUAUUUUGAAAAUCUUUUUGGAAAAUCAAAAAAUUGACCUAUUUAAUGCACCAAAUUUUCUUUCAGAAAAGAUGCUACACUUGAUGACAUCAGAGCACGUUUUCUUUUUGAAAGAUUAUUCACAGACAGAAAAAAAAACACAGAUCAUAGUAAAACCAACAGGUCCUUCCACUCCAAAUCUAAAAAGAACUGAUCCUGCUGACGGGUGUACUGCGUACCACUAUUGUAGGUAAAAACUUGGAAAAGUAGGUAAAGUAAUUUAAUUUAUAUUUGUACAUAACAAUAAACCGUUGCUGAC